CAGAGUGUAACAACUCCCCAACCCACUGUGAACAUACCACCGUUGCUUCGGCGGGCCACGCCCCGGGCGCCACAUCGCGCGCCCCGGAACCAAGGCGCCCGCCGGGGGACCGCAAACUCUCGUUUUCCUACGUCUCUCUCUGAGUGGACUUGAUACAAUCAAUCA
rnacentral:misc_RNA from 1 species